AUGGUUGUCGUCAGCUCGUGUCGUGAGAUGUUGGGUUAAGUCCCGCAACGAGCGCAACCCCUAUUGUUAGUUGCCAUCAUUCAGUUGGGCACUCGUAGCGAGACUGCCGGUAAUAAACCGGAGGAAGUGGGAUGACGUCAAAUCAUCAUGCCCCUUAUGACCUGGGCUACACACGUGCUACAAUGGUUGGUACAACGAGUUGCGAGUCGGUGACGGCGAGCUAAUCUCUUAAAGCCAAUCUCAGUUCGGAUUGUAGGCUGCAACUCGCCUACAUGAAGUCGGAAUCGCUAGUAAUCGCGAAUCAGCAUGUCGCGGUGAAUACGUUCCCGGGUCUU
rnacentral:rRNA from 1 species